CACUAUUCUACCAACUAAAAUGUAAAGUUUGUGUGCUAGCUGUGUUGAGAUAUCGUCACUUGGUGUAAGUGGCAUGAGUUGCUGUCGCUCGAUUUAGGUGGCAGCAACGACUGUGUUGAGAUAUCGUCACUUGGUGUAAGUGGCAUGAGUUGCUACCGCUCGAUUUAGGUGGUAGUGACGCCUGGUUGUGAGAUAUCGUUACUCAGCUGAUUUUAGUGUAAAGAGUAAUUGGAUUUUCAAGUUUGGUUGUUUAUGUGUGAAUACUGGUCAAUGGUCCGUGUAUUGUUAGUUGAUGAUUUAUCAUGAUGUAAUGUGAGCUCAUGUAGAGUCAAAAGUAGAGCUAAUGUAGAGUCAAAAGUAGAGCUCAUGUAGAGUCAAAAGUAGAGCUCAUGUAGAGUCACAAGUAGAGCUCAUGUAGAGUCACAAGUAGAGCUCAUGUAGAGUCCUUUAUAGAGUCUCAUGUCAGGUCAGGAAUGACCGAGCGACCUUGGAUACUGUGCUGUGGUAUAUUGUUUCAGAUUAACACACGAGGACGUGUGUCACGCAGGAUGGCCGUGUCGGAGUUAGUUAUGAAUAAAGAAGAGAAAUUGAUCAAAUCGGAAAAUACAAUGAAGUUGCAACACUUCCAUCAUGAAGUUGCAACGCUCCGACGAAAGGUGGCGUACGAGCAGAGCGGAGUGAAGUCGAGAGUCACUACAGAGUCGUCGUGUCGAGCGGACGUGCACUGCCGUUCUAGUCGGGCAGUCUACCGCGAACCAUCGUCUUGAGCGGACGUGUCGAAUAAUUACGAUCGGAACGUGGAGUGCUAUAGUCGCUCACCUAUAACUUGUAGGGACGUCAAGAAAGUGUGAUCGGAAAAGAGUACCUAGCAAGUACGUUCACAUGUCCCGAUGAUUCGGUCCGAAUAUAGGAACCAUGGGUGGUGGAGGGCAAGUAGAGGGCGAGUAGCCCCUUCGCGCUAACGUCCUUAUGCGCGCUAGAUAACGAGAGACUGUGUAACCGUUACGAAUACCGUGACGUUGCCGUGAGUGUGUACCUUAUGCUGUGACUUUAUUUAAUCGUGAUACAAAAACUAUGUGGAAGUAAAUAAAAUGAUUGUGAUACUGA